CGAGCUCCGAUUUUUGGUAUCAGCACCCCAGGCGAAGCUCAACCAGGUACAGUACCACCAACGGACACGAGUCCAGAGCCCAACCAGCCACAGUCAGCGGUAGAGAAGAAAAUGGAAGGAAAAAAGCC